UGAGGGAAAGCUGAAAAGCUGCGAACAACAGGACCCAUCCCCCCCUCAGAUCGUCUUCUUCACAGACCCCUCGCCCCCUUGACCUCUUCAUUCAUCAUCAGCCAUCGAUCCCAAACGACCGAAGACCCUCCCGUCGUCGCCUCCUACACAAAACCAGCGAGAACGGACCCUCCAAUCUCUCUCGAUCUCUGAGAACGAUGAGCAGUAGCGGACCCCUCCCAUCGCCGAAAAUUCGAAAAUAGCCCGACCUUCACCCAACUCCCUCGUCUCACCUCGCCGCUGUCCAUCCCGUCAGUGACCGCAUAUCCGGUGAGCUUCACCCUCAUGCACACACAUAUAGACGGAACAACUGUGUGACCUCCUCGUUCAAUACAUCCUUUGACUGUUUCACUCUCAGAUCUGUUGAUCUUCCUUGGUUUGAUGUUUUCACCCCCACUGUCGUUACUGCUUCUUCCGUUUGCCAUUAGCUAUGCCAUUUUCGGAUAGGAUUAUGAAACUCAGCUACAAAGCACACUAAAUGGUAUGAAAUAGAUCCAAAUCGCUAGUCACUAUUACAAUCCAUUAAUUUCAUUAUUUGGUUUAAUUCGAGUUUUCUGGCGAGUUCCGAGUUCGCCGAAGGUCGUAGUCUGAGGUUGCCGUCGAGGUUUUCGGUUUAAUGUUUCGGCGCCGAUGCGUUUUCAUUCGAUUUUGGAGUCCAUUCGACUUUGAUCUCAGCUGUUGUAGCUUCACUGAAAUGCUUGCUAAUAAAAUUUUCUUGAAGAAGUUUGGCUUCUGAAAAGGAUGGAACAAGCAUUGGGAUACAAGCAAAAUAGUUUGAGCUAAUAAGGAGUGGGUGCACUGCAUUUGGGGAAACAAUUUAAUAAUGUUAAUCUCUUAAGUUUGCAAAAAUGUUUGGCUUCUUUGUUGAACCAGACGCAUAACAAUUUAGUUUUGUAUAGAGUUUCUUUUGUUUCUAGCUAUUCUUUGCAUAUUCCUUGGAACUGUUAUCUUAACCACUGGUUGUCCCAUUUACUCAUUUUGCGUGAUUAAUUCAUGAGUUCAAAUUGAUAUUUGUUAAACAGUGGGAUGCGUAGUGGUUGGAAUUAAUCGGAUGCAGAGAAAGUGCAUUUGA